rnacentral:tRNA from 2 species
CGCGCGGUAGAGCAGCGGUAGCUCGUCGGGCUCAUAACCCGAAGGUCGCAAGUUCGAUCCUUGCCCGCGCAA